rnacentral:lncRNA from 1 species
GGAUCCAAUUGAUAAAAAGAUUAUCAGAAAUAGAGAUGUUUGUGUUUCUAGAAGAUUAAAUUAUUAAAGAUUUUGAAAAAAAAAGAAAAGUCAAAGUCUAUCACUAGAAGUUAUGUUGAUUUGGAUCCAGUGCCUCCUACUAUGAUGAAUAAUGAUAACAGAGAAAAUGUACAGGAAGAUGAUGAUAACGCAUUUGAUGAAUCCAUCUUUAAUAAUGAUAUGCCAGAUGAGUAUGCUAAGCAAG